rnacentral:rRNA from 1 species
GACGAACGCUGGCGGCGUGCUUAACACAUGCAAGUCGAACGAAGUGGCGAUCGGGUGAGUAAUACGUGAGUAACCUGCCCUCCUUUUUGGGUUAAGCCUUGGAAACGGGGUCUAAUACCGAAUAAAGGGUGUUGGGCUCGCGGCCUAUCAGCUGGUUGGUGGGGUGAUGGCCUACGAAGCCGGUGCCGGGUACCCGGCCUGGGAGGGUGACCGGCCACAUUGGGACGGAGGGACGGACCAGACGCGUACCGGAGGCAGCAGUGGGGCAUAUUGCAGAAUGGGCGAAUGCCGGAUGCAGCGGCGCCGCGUGGGGGAUGAAGGCUUGCGGGUUGUAAACCUCUUUCGCGACCGAAAGGGUAGGUGGAGAAGAAGCGCCGGCUAACUACGUGCCAGCAGCCGCGGUAAUUC